rnacentral:rRNA from 1 species
GUGGAUUAGAUACCCUGGUAGUCCACGCCCUAAACGAUGUCUACUAGUUGUCGGGUUUUAAUUAACUUGGUAACGCAGCUAACGCGUGAAGUAGACCGCCUGGGGAGUACGGUCGCAAGAUUAAAACUCAAAGGAAUUGACGGGGACCCGCACAAGCGGUGGAUGAUGUGGAUUAAUUCGAUGCAACGCGAAAAACCUUACCUACCCUUGACAUGGCAGGAAUCCCGGAGAGAUUUGGGAGUGCUCGAAAGAGAACCUGCACACAGGUGCUGCACGGUCGUCGACAACU